rnacentral:rRNA from 1 species
GAUCCUGGCUCAGAAUCAACGCUGGCGGCGUGCCUCAGACAUGCAAGUCGAACGAUUAAACUUUCCUUCGGGAAAGAUAUAAAGUGGCGCACGGGUGAGUAACACGUAAGUAAUCUACCUUCGAGUGGGGAAUAACGUUCGGAAACGAACGCUAAUACCGCAUAAUGCAGCGGCAUCGCAAGAUGACAGUUGUUAAAGGAAUUUAUUUCGCUUGAAGAGGAGCUUGCGGCAGAUUAGCUUGUUGGUAAGGUAACGGCUUACCAAGGCUACGAUCUGUAUCCGGUCUAAGAGGACGGUCGGACACACUGACACUGAAUAACGGGUCAGACUCCUACGGGAGGCAGCAGUCGGGAAUUUUGGGCAAUGGGCGAAAGCCUGACCCAGCAACGCCGCGUGAAGGAUGAAGUAUUUCGGUAUGUAAACUUCGAAAGAAUGGGAAGAAUAAAUGACGGUACCAUUUAUAAGCUCCGGCUAACUACGUGCCAGCAGCCGCGGUAAUACGUAGGGAGCAAGCGUUGUUCGGAUUUACUGGGCGUAAAGGGCGCGUAGGCGGCGCGGUAAGUCACUUGUGAAAUCUCUGAGCUUAACUCAGAACGGCCAAGUGAUACUGCAGUGCUAGAGUGUAGAAGGGGCAAUCGGAAUUCUUGGUGUAGCGGUGAAAUGCGUAGAUAUCAAGAGGAACACCUGAGG